rnacentral:rRNA from 1 species
AAGUAGCUUGCUACUUUUGCCGGCGAGUGGCGAACGGGUGAGUAAUGUAUCGGAACGUGCCCAGUAGCGGGGGAUAACUACGCGAAAGCGUGGCUAAUACCGCAUACGCCCUACGGGGGAAAGGGGGGGAUCUUAGGACCUCUCACUAUUGGAGCGGCCGAUAUCGGAUUAGCUAGUUGGUGAGGUAAUGGCUCACCAAGGCAACGAUCCGUAGCUGGUUUGAGAGGACGACCAGCCACACUGGGACUGAGACACGGCCCAGACUCCUACGGGAGGCAGCAGUGGGGAAUUUUGGACAAUGGGGGAAACCCUGAUCCAGCCAUCCCGCGUGUGCGAUGAAGGCCUUCGGGUUGUAAAGCACUUUUGUCAGGGAAGAAAAGGUGUCGGAUAAUACCUGACACUGAUGACGGUACCUGAAGAAUAAGCACCGGCUAACUACGUGCCAGCAGCCGCGGUAAUACGUAGGGUGCAAGCGUUAAUCGGAAUUACUGGGCGUAAAGCGUGCGCAGGCGGUUCGGAAAGAAAGAUGUGAAAUCCCAGGGCUCAACCUUGGAACUGCAUUUUUAACUGCCGGACUAGAGUAUGUCAGAGGGGGGUGGAAUUCCACGUGUAGCAGUGAAAUGCGUAGAUAUGUGGAGGAACACCGAUGGCGAAGGCAGCCCCCUGGGAUAAUACUGACGCUCAUGCACGAAAGCGUGGGUAGCAAACAGGAUUAGAUACCCUGGUAGUCCACGCCCUAAACGAUGUCAACUAGCUGUUGGGCCCUUCGGGGCUUAGUAGCGCAGCUAACGCGUGAAGUUGACCGCCUGGGGAGUACGGUCGCAAGAUUAAAACUCAAAGGAAUUGACGGGGACCCGCACAAGCGGUGGAUGAUGUGGAUUAAUUCGAUGCAACGCGAAAAACCUUACCUACCCUUGACAUGUCUGGAAUCCUGAAGAGAUUUAGGAGUGCUCGCAAGAGAUCCGGAACACAGGUGCUGC